rnacentral:rRNA from 1 species
AGUCGCGGACGGGUGAGUAACACGUAAGAAUUUGCCUUUAGGAGGGGGAUAACAACUGGAAACGGUUGCUAAUACCCCAUAUGCUUUCGAGUGAAAUGGAUUUCCGCCUAAAGAGAAGCUUGCGGCUGAUUAGCUUGUUGGUGAGGUAAUGGCUCACCAAGGCGACGAUCAGUAUCUGGUUUGAGAGGACGAUCAGACACACUGGAACUGAGACACGGUCCAGACUCCUACGGGAGGCAGCAGUGGGGAAUUUUCCGCAAUGGGCGAAAGCCUGACGGAGCAAUACCGCGUGAGGGAUGACGGCCUAUGGGUUGUAAACCUCUUUUUUUCAGGGAGGAAUCAAUGACGUGUACCUGAAGAAUAAGCAUCGGCUAACUCCGUGCCAGCAGCCGCGGUAAGACGGAGGAUGCAAGUGUUAUCCGGAAUCACUGGGCGUAAAGCGUCUGUAGGUGGUUUAAUAAGUCAACUGUUAAAUCUUGAGGCUCAACCUCAAAAUCGCAGUCGAAACUAUUAGACUAGAGUAUAGUAGGGGUAAAGGGAAUUUCCAGUGGAGCGGUGAAAUGCGUAGAUAUUGGAAGGAACACCGAUGGCGAAGGCACUUUACUGGGCUAUUACUAACACUCAGAGACGAAAGCUAGGGUAGCAAAUGGGAUUAGAUACCCC